CCUGCUGGCUGAGUCCUCCCCAGUCCCCGCCCCGUUUGCCCAUUUUCCAGAAAAUCAGAGCAUAACCCGUUCUAACCCGAUUCCCUGCUUUGUUGUGUUGUCUGCCCUCCUCCGACGCUUGGGAAACCGUUUGUUCUGUGGCUUCUCCUGAGGAGACGGAGAAUUUUCAGGGCUUGAAUAGGUCUCGCAGAAAGGUGAAGAAGCCAAAAGCAAAUGAAGACAACUACAGGGAAGUUCACAAAGGCCGGGAGAGAUAAGAGCCUUCCAAGUUAAGGAACCAUAAAUCUUCAGUUAUGAUCUGGCUGUUUCUCCAAGCAGCAAGCUAGCAGGGAAACCUCAAAGGGCCUGAGCCUAUGAUUCCUAUGGCCCUAUGACACUAUUGUCUCCCUGUCCCCGGCUCCAAGUGCAUUGAAUCAUGAGAGGAAAUUGUCACUGUUCAGCAUUGGCUCUUCUGACUUGAUAUUGUGCUGCAUGAUGAAUUGAUGCUGUUGGGAAGACAGGUAUGUAGAGCAUUUUAAGCCACUAAGGUAUGUGAACUAAAUCUACAACUCACCUCUUAGGAACAACUACCUGAGGAUAAGGCUCUUUCAGAAAAUAUAAGCAUUGGUGACAAAUUCACUCAACAGAUUGCUGCACCUUGUUUUAGAAAAUGCUUCUAGUGGUAGCAAAACAAUCCACAUGAGGAUUUAUGAAGAUGCACCUGAUCCUUGAUUUGGGAAGAGGCGAGAGAGCCAAUGUCCGUCUACCAUGGUUCACCCAUGCAAACUUUCUUGUUCUCCUACUGUAUCACCCAGGCACUGACCAAAGUCCUGGGCACACUUCAUUAAACAUGGUACCUGCUCUUGAAGAAUUCUCAGUCUAACAGGAGAGAAGUGUGUGCAAACCGAUGGUUAAAAUGCAUCACAGUGGUUAAAAUGCAUCACAGCAUUAGGUGCUGUAGAGAGGAAUGGGCAAAGCGUUGUUAGAUCACAGAAGGAGUGACUAGCUAUGCAGCUUCUUCCAGACUCAGCUUGGGAAUCAUCCCAGUUCCACUGCUGUACUCACCUGCUCUCUGCUUACUUUCCACAUGACACUGGUAGUUUCUGCUCCUGUGUCUCUCUCCCGAGCAGCAAGCCUUCAAGAAAGGGUUGCUCAGCUUUGGUGUUAUUGACAUUUUGGGCCAAGUGUUUGAUGAUAGGGAGGGGAAGCCGUCCUGUGCAUUGUAGAAGGUUUAACAUCAUCCCUGACCUCUACCCGGGAUCCUUGCCCUCUGUGUGCCAGUAGUAUCCACACCACACACAUACACACGGACACAGACAUGUACAACACACACACACACACACACACCACACUUUUUAUGGUAAUCAAAAAUAUCUACAGACUUUGCCAAAUCUCCCCUAGGCAGCAAAAUCAUCCCGUUGAGAAUCCCUGCUUUAAGCUGUUCCAGGACAGCAAUGACAUUUUCUUCAUCUCUGCAUCCCUGGUGCCCAGGACAUUUCUGUCACUAUGAAGCAGACAGAACAUGGCUUGGAGGCAUGAGGGAAGCCUUAAAUAAGAGACUUAUCUGAUUGGAAGGAUAAAAAGAAAUCAUCUAGGUCAGUACUCUCCUAUAGAACUUUCUGUGAUGAUGGAAGUGUUCUAUGGCUGUACUUUCCAAUACAGUGGCCACUAUGUGUGGCCUUUGAAUACUUGAAAUAUAUGACUUAUAUGACUGAGGAGCUAAACUUAUUUCAUUAUAAUUACUUUAAAUGUACAUUUCAAAGGCUCCAUGUGAGUUGAGGCUCCAUCUUAGAUAGCACAGCUCAAGCACUGUGUGGCCUGGCCCAGUGUAAGCACUACUCAUCAAAUGCAAGUUUGGUUUUCAGUAGAUUCCCGGAUGAUUAAAUAUAUAUUUAUACUUCCAGUCUUUCUGACCAUUAUCCGAGCCUAAAGCUAUUUAUUUUGGAAUAAAUUUCCAUGCUUCAUUCUAAAGAGAUAAUAAAAGAAGCUGAUCCUACCCACUGUAAAGCAACCAGGGAUGCCAUUAUUGAGGGGCUUGAAGACAGAUGCUGAUGAAAUUCUUAGAAUCACGCCAUUUAUUUAAAAGUAGCCCAUUUGGCUAUCUAUGCUUCCAUGCAUUUAUCUAAAUAAUGUGUAUUGAGGGCCUACCAGGUGCUAUUGUUCAAUGGGAUCACAAAAAAAUAUGCAAAACAGCCAGAGAGAAAAAUGUAGAAAAAACUGCUGCAUUGUUAGAAGAAUAGGAAUGGAAUUGUGUGUGUGGUACAGGCAGGAUACAGAGAAGGGAGAUUCUAAGUGCCUGAAAUGGCUUGACAGCAGAGCUGACACUGAGCUGAGCUUGAAGUGAAAAUUAGCUGAGAGUCAGUUUCCUAAACGUAUCUGAACAUCCACCACAUGCACACCCCAGAAUCACCUGGAGGCUUGUUAAAAAAUAAAUUUUCAAGCUUCUUCCCUGGAAAUUCUUAGUAUAGAAACUUUGCAGUUUUAGCAAGCAUCCCAGGCAAAUAUAGGAAAUGGGUAUUAGGAGAACGGGGCCAAUAAUUCCCCUGUGCUGAUAGGAACAGUGCCAAAGUCCUGAUAAUGUUUCUGAUAGCUAAAAUGUAUCAGUAUAUUACAUUUGCCAUAUAAAUAUAAAGUCAGGAAUUUGAAAAAUAAAAGAACGAAAGAGAAACAAAAACUACCCGUACUUUUCACCAUUUAGACCUAAUCAUUGAUAUUUUCCAUAAAUAUUCUGCUUGUCUUUUUGUGUACACUCUCGUGCACUCAUACAAAAUUGGAAGAAUGCUAUACCUAUUUCAUUUUUCACAUACACUUUUUUAUCUUACAAUAGUUUAGAGUUAAAGAAAAGUUGCAAAGAUAGGACAGUUUUCCUAUUAUUAAUGUCUUACAUUAGUACGAGCCUUUGUAACAGUUAAUGUGCCAAUAUUUAUAUGUUUUUGUUAUCAAAAAUUCAUGCUUCAUUCAGAUUUCCUUAACUAUUAUCCAUUAUUCUUAUUCUAUUCCAAGAUUGGAUCUAAGAUAUCAUAUUGUGUUUCAUUAUCAUGUCUCCUUAGAUCUAUCUUGGUUGUGACAGUUUUUCAUUCUUUUCUUGUUUUUCUUGACCUUGACAGUUUUGGGGAAUAUUGGUCAGGUAUUUUGUAGACUUUCCUUAAACUGAUAUUUUUCUCAUGGUUAGAUUGGAGUUGUCUGUUUUUGCUUGAAUGAUAAUUUUAAGUUUGGUUUUAAAUUACAGAAAAAACAAAAGAAUAAUAAGACAAAGAUGCACAUAUCAUCAGUCCAGAAUUGACAGUUAUCAUUUUUGUAUUUGAUUUAUUAAAAAAAAAACUAAUAGAAUAGAGAUCAAAUUCCCUUUAUUGAGUGUCCUUACCUAUAAUUUCACAACCCUCCCUGCCUCAUAGAUGCAACCAUUGUCAUGAAUUUAGUGUGCAAUCUUCAAUUUCCACUUUUUCCUUUUAUAUGUAUGUACAGCAUACCUAUAAAACCAGGAAAAUAUGUGGUAUUUACAUGUAUUUUAAUUUUGGUCCAUGAAUGACAUUGUAAUGACAUCAGACCAACUGGUUCAACUUUUAUGUGACAAAGUUGUGAGUUGUUUUCAGUUGCCAUGGACCCCCAGGUUAAAGGGCACAUAAUCUGAGCAUGCCCAGAUGAACCAAAUGUGCAACCACAAGGGGAAACUAAGCGCUGGCAUGGAGGUUCAGGACUGAAUUAAGCAGCAGCAGACACCACAUGGCAGCAUCCAGCCAGAGCAUGCAUCCUGGCCUUGCCUCACUGCCAGAUCCAAUCAGAUCACGCCUCAUUACCCAUUUUAAAAUCUGGCCCACCCCCAGAUCAAGGAGGCAGAUUUGAGCAUUUCCUCCUCUCCUGUGGCCAGUGGACUUGCAAUAAACCUUUCUCAGAGUAAAAACCCAGUGCUUUGGUGUUGGCUAUCCACUGCAUUUGGGCCUAUGGACCUCGUUUGUUUCAGUGACAGCAUCAUGUACCCGUCAUUCUUUAACCUGAUUUUUUUUCACUUAACAUUGUAUUUGAUAGCUAUUCAUGUAGAUCUAUGUAGUCCAAGCGGAUCAUUUCUUUUCAUUGCUAUAUGCUAUUCUGUAGUAUGCCUACAGUAUAGUUUAUCCAUUUCCUUCUUAUAGACAGGUGCAAGAGAUUCUCUAAAGUAUAAACUUAAGGUAGCAUUGCUGGCUUAUAGGAUAUGGGCUUCCAGAUAUGACUGAAGCGGUUCAUGCUCCUAGCAGCACUGUUUAAGCAAUUGUUUCUCUGCGUUCUCAACAACAAUUAUUAUUGACAGAUAGUUUAAUUUUUUCCAAACUUUUAAGAGUGAAAUUAAAUCUCACUGGUAUUUUAUUUUUAAUUUUCCUUAGUACUACUGGUGAACUUGAGUAUCAUCUUAGAUACGUUAGUGAAUUGCUUGUUCAUUUUUGGGGGCCCUUUUUUCUACUGGAUGUUUUUGUCUGUUUCUCUUACUAAUAUAAGUGGUUUUUUGUUUUUGUUUUUGCAUAUUUGGGUUAACCAUCAUUUUCCUGUUGUGUAUGUUACACAUAUACUGUUUUACCCUAAGGUUUGUCUUUUAGCAUUACUAUUGUCCCAAUUGUCAUUCAGAAGUUUGCCUUUAACAAAGUCAUCAGUCUUUUCUGUAUAAUUGGUACUUUUUUCUAUAUUGCUUAAGAAAUUUUCCCCUAAGAUAAAAGGAAUUCCCUAAGAUAUAGGGAAUAUCUUAAAGAUAUUCCUUAUAUUUUCUUCUAGUUGUUGCAAUUUUUUCUUUUUCAUGUUUAAGUCUUUUAGCUACAUGAAGUCUCUUUUUGUUUUUUAUGUGAACUAGGGAUCUAAUUUUCUUCCUACAUGAAGCCUAGCUAUCCCAGCAUCUUUUAUUAAAUAGUUCAUCCUUUCAAGUGUAAUGCCAGUUCUACUAAAUGUCAUGUCCAUAUAUGCAGUGAUUUGUUUUUGGUAUGUCUAAUCUGUUCAUCUGACCUUUUAUCUGUGAUUCAGCCCAAACCACAGUUUUCUUAGUUAGCUUUAUAGUAAAUUCUGAUACCUGGUAGAAUAAGUAACCCUUUCUUGUUAUUCUUUUUCAGAGAUGUAUCAGAUAUUUUUGGACCUUUGUUCUGCCACAGAAAUUUUAACAUGUUUAUAAAGUUUUAUGGGAAACCAUGUUAGGAUUUAUUUUGGAAUUGCAUUGAAAUUAUAGAUGCAUUCGAGGGAGGAUUACCACCUUUACCAUAUUGAAUCUUCCUAUUCAUGAGCACAGUUUACCUGUCCAUUUAUUAAGAACUUCUCAUAUGUUCUUCAAUAAAGUUUUAAAAUUUUCUCAGCAAAAAAAAUUUACGAAUGUUUUAUUUAUGAUUAGGCUUGAAAUUAUUUUUAUUACUAAAUAAGAUUUUUUUCAACUUUUGUGUAAAUACUUGCUUGUUAGGAAUGCUAUUGAUUUUUGAAGGCAGUUUUAUAUGAUUUAAGUGUUGAAAAUUUUUAUUCGUUCUGAAUGAUUUCUUAGAAUUUACAGACACCAUACCAUGAAGACAUAGUGAUAAUUUUGUCUCUUUUUUUUUACUGCGCUAUCCCCAUUGCUUUAUUGAUUAGAACCUCUGGCAUAGUAUUGAUAAUAGCUGUGAUAAAGGAUAUCUUUGGCUUGUUCCUGACUUUCUGGGAAAAUCAUCUAAAACUAAGUUGAUGACAUAUGAUAAAAUUUAUUAUAUGAUAUAGGUUUUUGUUAGAUGUCUUUUUUCAUGCCAAAGAUAAUUGAGUUGCCUAUUAUUUAUAGCAUGUUAGAAAUUUUCUUUGUACAUCACAAAUAAGUACUAAACUUUUCUGAAUUCUUGGUCUGUACCUGUUAUAGUAGUUAUAUGGAUUGGCUCUUAAUUUGCUAUGUGGUAAAUUACACUGAUACACUUUCUAAAGUUAAACUUGUGCGUUCCUGGAAUAAACCAUUUUAGUCUUAUUUUUAAAACCUGUUUUUCUAUGCUGCUAAACUGGAUUUCCUAAUAUUUUACUUAGAUUUUUUUACAUUGUUGUUUACAAGUGACUUGGCAUGUAGUUUUCUUUUUUAUACUUUCUUUACUGAUUUUGGAAUUAAAUUAUAUUGUCUCAUAAAA